AGAGUUUGAUCCUGGCUCAGAACGAACGCUGGCGGCAUGCCUAAUACAUGCAAGUCGAACGAGAUCUUCGGAUCUAGUGGCGCACGGGUGCGUAACGCGUGGGAAUCUGCCCUUGGGUUCGGAAUAACAGUUAGAAAUGACUGCUAAUACCGGAUGAUGACGUAAGUCCAAAGAUUUAUCGCCCAAGGAUGAGCCCGCGU
rnacentral:rRNA from 1 species